CUAGGUUAUUGCGCCCCUAAACCAACGCACUGACAACGCUACCUCUCCCGGAACUCAAACUUUAACCGGGCAUGACUUGGUACAUCCAGUGACCCAGCAAAAAGUAGCCUCGGUACAGCCAGAAGUAGCAACAACUCGCAAAAGGGGAUCCUUGUCUGACUGGUGGCUGGACCACAUGACACUUGUUGGAAAAGGAAGGACCAAAGGUGCCAUCGUCGAGGGCCCAGAUAGAUGAAGAGAUUGAAGCCUGGGCUGCACACAAUCCUGUUAGUAACAAAAAAAGAAGGAAAAAAUGCUGUCCCAUUUGUCCAUAUGCCCAGCGCCAGAACCCAUUUAUACAUCUGGGUAGUGAGAAAAUCUAGGAAGAAGUCGCCACCCACUGAUGAUCUCAUCCAAGUUUACCAAAGACUCCAGUCCAAAGCAGUGUAGGAGAGGAAUGGUGGCCUGUUCGAACAGGCAUGGACUGAAUCGCCAGCUCUCAUCUCCCUAGUCACUCCGAUGGCCACGUGUCGCUCCUCGAUCAUUGUUAUUUUGAAAAAUCCUGCCAAAAUUCUGUUGACUGUUUGUUGUCGACAAGAGUCUAUGUUUCAUGAAUAACAAGGCUGUGUUCUGUA